GAGUUUGAUCCUGGCUCAGGACGAACGCUGGCGGCGUGCCUAAUACAUGCAAGUCGAGCGAGCUUGCCUAGAUGAUUUUAGUGCUUGCACUAAAUGAAACUAGAUACAAGCGAGCGGCGGACGGGUGAGUAACACGUGGGUAACCUGCCCAAGAGACUGGGAUAACACCUGGAAACAGAUGCUAAUACCGGAUAACAACACUAGACGCAUGUCUAGAGUUUGAAAGAUGGUUCUGCUAUCACUCUUGGAUGGACCUGCGGUGCAUUAGCUAGUUGGUGUGGUAACGGCACACCAAGGUGACGAUCAGUAGCCGGACUGAGAGGUUGAACGGCCACAUUGGGACUGAGAUACGGCCCAGACUCCUACGGGAGGCAGCAGUCGGGAAUAUUGCGCAAUGGAGGAAACUCUGACGCAGUGACGCCGCGUAUAGGAAGAAGGUUUUCGGAUUGUAAACUAUUGUCGUUAGGGAAGAUAAAAGACAGUACCUAAGGAGGAAGCUCCGGCUAACUACGUGCCAGCAGCCGCGGUAAUACGUAGGGAGCAAGCGUUAUCCGGAUUUAUUGGGUGUAAAGGGU
rnacentral:rRNA from 1 species